AGGAAAUUCCGAGGAACCCCAAUUUUGUGUUUCCUCGGAAAUUCCUCGGUAUAUUCAGAGGAUUUCAUUUUCCGUCGGAAUGUCCGUCAGAAUACCGCUGUUUUCUUGUAGUGCUACAUUAACCCUAAAAAAAAAUUAACUUUAAAUUCACCUCCCCACUUAUUGCCAAUCAAAAUGCCACAUAGAUUAAUACUAAAAUAGAUUCAAUUUUAUAAAAAAAAAAAUCUCUAAAUAACUGAAAACAAAUUAUGACAACAAUUUUAAUGACACUAACGCUACUAACUAAACUGUAAAUUCUAAAUUUUAAACUCUAAACUUUAAAUCUAAACCAUAAACUUUAAAUCUAAACCCUAAACCCUAAAUUCUAAAUUCAAAUUCUAAACCCUAAACCCAAAUCCUAUAUUUUAAA
rnacentral:lncRNA from 1 species